GAUGAACGCUGGCGGCGUGCCUAAUACAUGCAAGUCGAGCGAACAGACGAGGAGCUUGCUCCUCUGACGUUAGCGGCGGACGGGUGAGUAACACGUGGAUAACCUACCUAUAAGACUGGGAUAACUUCGGGAAACCGGAGCUAAUACCGGAUAAUAUAUUGAACCGCAUGGUUCAAUAGUGAAAGACGGUUUUGCUGUCACUUAUAGAUGGAUCCGCGCCGCAUUAGCUAGUUGGUAAGGUGACGGCUUACCAAGGCAACGAUGCGUAGCCGACCUGAGAGGGUGAUCGGCCACACUGGAACUGAGACACGGUCCAGACUCCUACGGGAGGCAGCAGUAGGGAAUCUUCCGCAAAGGGCGAAAGCUUGACGGAGCAACGCCGCGUGAGUGAUGAAGGUCUUCGGAUCGUAAAACUCUGUUAUUAGGGAAGAACAAAUGUGUAAGUAACUAUGCACGUCUUGACGGUACCUAAUCAGAAAGCCACGGCUAACUACGUG
rnacentral:rRNA from 1 species